rnacentral:rRNA from 1 species
GACGAACGCUGGCGGCGUGCUUAACACAUGCAAGUCGAACGGAAAGGCCCUGCUUUUGUGGGGUGCUCGAGUGGCGAACGGGUGAGUAACACGUGAGUAACCUGCCCUUGACUUUGGGAUAACUUCAGGAAACUGGGGCUAAUACCGGAUAGGAGCUCCUGCUGCAUGGUGGGGGUUGGAAAGUUUCGGCGGUUGGGGAUGGACUCGCAGCUUAUCAGCUUGUUUGUGGGGUAGUGGCUUACCAAGGCUUUGACGGGUAGCCGGCCUGAGAGGGUGACCGGGCACAUGGGGACUAAGAGAGGGAGCAGACUCCAACGGGAGGCAGCAGUGGGGAAUAUGGCACAAUGGGCGGAAGCCUGAUGCAGCAACGCCGCGUGCGGGAUGCCGGCCUUCGGGUUGUAAACCGCUUUCGCCUGUGACGAAGCGUGAGUGACGGUAAUGGGUAAAGAAGCACCGGCUAACUACGUG